rnacentral:snRNA from 1 species
GUGCUCGCUUCGGCAGCACAUAUACUAAAAUUGGAACAAUGCAGAGAAGAUCAGCAUGGCCCCUGCACAAAGAUGACACGCAAAUUCAUGAAGUGUUCCAUAUUUUU